GACGUAGGAGGCAAGCGUUAUCCGGAGUUACUGGGCGUAAAGCGCACGCAGGCGGUCUGAUAAGUUCAAGGUGACAGUCACCGGCUUAACUGGUGAAGUACCUUGAAAACUGGCGGACUUGAGAGCGAGAGAGGGACAUGGAAUUCCGGGUGGAGUGGUGAAAUGCGUAGAGAUCCGGAGGAACACCGAAGGCGAAGGCAGUGUCCUGGCUCGUAUCUGACGCUCAGGUGCGAAAGCUAGGGGAG
rnacentral:rRNA from 1 species